CGAGUGAGCCUGCGCCGAAAAUUACCGGGGCUAAACUGUGUACCGAAGCUAUGGAAGCGUGUGUGUUCAAUGGUGUUUCCUAAAGGCAGUGAAGCAAGGGGUAAGCUUCAUCGAAAUCAACCUUGAUUAAAUGAGUAAUUGAAAAAGGAGAUUUCGAUAAAAUUACACCAAAGGCAAAACUGUGUAGGAGAUAGCAUUGAACAUACAUGCUUGGUAGGGGAGCUUACUGUCGUAGGCCGAAGCACGAUCGUGAGGACGUGUGGACG
rnacentral:rRNA from 1 species